GACGCUACGGACUUAAAAUCCGUCGACUUUUAAAAUCGUGAGGGUUCAAGUCC
rnacentral:tRNA from 2 species